CAGAAUAUAGCGAUAAAUUGGCGUCUUUUAUUUUGGCGGUGUGUGACCGCAGUGGCUCAGUACUGGGUGCGGUGCUCAGAUGACCUCAGGGUUUUGUUUGAAUAUGGAUCUCUACCAACUCAAUCCAUUCUUCUAUGUUGUAGCUGAACCCACAUUGUCCCUGCUACUACUUGAAGGCUCAGAUGGGGCAGUUAGUGAAGAAGGUCCUUGUGAACGUUGCUCAUGAUCCAUGGUGCCUCCUACAGCUUCUUCCAAAGACAUGGCAGUGGAACUUGUCUGCUGUAUAAACAUAACAGCCCAGUGUUGCUCUUGUUAACCAAAGACAAAAAAAAAAGAAA
ensembl:lncRNA